CUGUGCAAGCUAUCAAACUUGCCUGAAGAGAACCUGCGCACACCCUCUUUCCUGCUCCAAAGGCCAUUGUCUUGUACAAAUCUGCAGGGUCGUUUUGCCCAUCAAGAAAUCUCUCGGGUUUCCACUCCUCUGGGUUUUCCCACUGUUUCUUGUCCAUGUUGCAUCCGUAUAUGUUUAUUGCAAUCUGUGUAUGCAACAUAAAUUAAAGUUAACAUCUAACAAUGCAGACACCAUUAGUCGGAACCACAAAGAUUUCGAAGGAAACUAAGCUAAACAACAACCUCACUUCCAGCAGGAAUGAAGUAUCCUCCUAUUUCGGUAUCUUCAUGUGCAAAUCUUAAAGGAACUAUUGGAGCUGGACUGUACUUUCUCAGAGUUUCAUGGAAAACUCCUCCCAAGUAAGGAACCUGUGCUAUGUUUUCCUCCGUAAACUUGUUCGACCCACAAACUGAUUGAAUUUCCUGAAAUAGACGGUCCUGUAGUGUGUGUAUAUAUAUAUAGAAGGAACAUCAAUAUAUGCAAAAAAUUUUGAACAGGUAGCAAAGAUCAAAAUUCAUGGAGAGACUAGCGAUUGAUUAAUUAACCUGUCGCAUUGGAUCCUUUGCGAGCUCAUACAUGGCCCAUUCUGUUGUGACCAAAGUAGUAUCUGAUGUCUCGAUGAUAGGCUCCCAGAGCAGCAUGCUUAUUUGUUGCUCUGUAAGUGAUUUUACUUCUGACAACAAGUGAUCAACAUAACAAUUCAGUUCCUGUCCUGAAGCAAUUCUGCUUUUGGCCUCGCUGAUGAGGGCAUCCAUUACUGCUUGCCUGCGGGUACACAAUCUCUGAAUUUUCAUUUCCACGCCUUUAUUAGGAACCCAUCUUAGGUAAGGGAAGAAGUCUCUCCAGUCCACCUCAAUUGCUCCCUCCAUUAUGUCAAGCACUAAAAUUUUAAAUAUCUCAUCUUUUGACAAUGUGGUACGGAGCUCCUUCACAUAAAUUGAUUCCACAACCUUUCCCACAGCCUGAAAAUGCAAAAUGCUUUAAUUAUCUAUGUAUUUAGUCAAAGAUAAGAGAUGAAUUUCCAACAAAAGAUCACAGCUAGCUCACCUGCUUCAUUGACACUGCAAAAAGUUCAGACUCAAAAAUUUUCCUGAAAUUGACUAGUUGUAGAGGGUUGUCCUUGAUGUGAGCAUGAAAUUGGGUUGAAAUAUUUUCCAUCAUUGUGUCUCUAUGGAUUCGGUGUCGCUUCUGAAUAACACACAUACAGAGAGUACGCGUCAUUAGUUUCGGCAGUACGAUAUACAUGCAUACACAACAUAUGAAGGGACACGGUGAAAGCAAGAGAAAGUUGCAGUAGCAGAUUAACCUGAGCAUUCCCACCCAAAACAUUUGUGAGUAAACAUCGUUUAGCCAUUUUGUGAAAUUCAUCGUAGUCACUUAUUGCAACCAUACACUUAUUAGAUGUGAGGAUCUUCAGGGCAUUUGAUAGCUUCCUUGUUGAAAUGGAUGGAUAUCUGGUCACCAUGGCCUGGAAGAACAAACAAUAAAUUAAAACAUUUUAAUCAUUGAUUGAUUGAUUUCUCUUCUAUGUGCCCCUAUAUCAGUAACUAACUAAAGCUACAUGAAUAUAUAAAUUAAUUAAUUAAUUAAUGACAAGCAAACUGGACAUUUAGUGAAUUAGACAUCUUGAUUGUCAGCCUAACGACCUAACUAAAGGGAUUCAUAUGCAGCUCACUCAAACUUACACCCGAGCGGUUAAGUUGCCAAACAUUAACAGCUUAAACAUGUUAUAUACUAUUAAUUGUACAGCUCGGGCCCAACAAUUAAGUAGAUAUUAUUAGUUUUGGUCACAUAGUCAGUCACAGUUUUGUUCUGGACAUUUUUACUUGAAACGCAUCUACUUAGUUAAGACAGUUCAUGACUUAUAAAAAAGUUCAGUUCAGAAACUGACUCGCUAGCGAAUUGUGAUGUUACGUUAACAAUUUCACCCGAUGACAAAAUUGAAUCUAUAGUUUGCAGUGUUAAAAGUAUAGAACCAGAAUGCCUGCCUCUUUAGCAACAUCAGCGGAGUUGAGAACAAUCAUAGUAGAAGCGCCAGUCUUGAUAGAGUAAAUUGGUCCAUACACCUCUGCCCACCUUGUGAAAGUCAUGUGUGGUUUCUUCUCUUUCAACUGUAACAAAUUUCCUAUAAGUGGUAGCCUUCCUGGAACCUCUGCACACAACUCCCCAAAAACAACCCAUUGAUCAUUUUAAUUAAUCAAUGAAGAACAAAGAACUGAAGAGAAGAAACCAUAUAUACAUACCUGGAACAGGCGGAAGAUUAACAGCUAAUUCCAUCCUCUGCCUAGAGAUGAACCUUCUGAUGAAGAACAAGAAGAAAAACACAGAGAGAGUACCAAGAGCAAUGGAAGUAGCAAAGGGUACUGCUUGAAAUGAUUGAAUGAUGUACUCUUUGGCGGCCAUUGUUUUUUAUUUUCUAUACUGAAAUAUAGUGAAAGAAGUCCGAGAUUCUAUAGAAUGAGAUGCUCAAGGCAUAACUUGAGUAUUUGUAAUCAUGAUUACACACAUGGGUUGUUGAAUUGGAAUGUUAUAUUUUCAAAAAACAUUUAGCUAAAGUACAAGUAGAAUUGACCUGUCAUGUGUCAGAGAGAGACGACCGAAUUAUGGCCUGUCUCUGAGUCUAAAUUAGCUGGUGCUGUUUUUUGUAAGUGUUUUUCAGGAAGGAUUCCCUUUCGGCGUUUACCAAAUAUGGAAGGGUCCAAACAAUUAUGUUAGUCGUGUGGAUAGUGCCAAAAUGGGGCAUGGAAUUAUGCAAAGGAAUCAAGAGAGUUCAGAUACUAUUACAAACAACUAUUACAACAAACAAAUUCGUCACUGCCGUGUAUCUGCGGUUGCAACUCAGUGCUAUCCAUGCCUUCAACAUAGCUGGAGUCGAUAAUAUGAUACUUAUAGGUCCAUUAUCUUUAAAUAAUGAUAGCUUUUUUUUCCCCCUUGUACAUUAGUGAGAGUAGAUUUCUGAACAAAGCUCAAGAGACCUCUUGGAUUGAACUAAAACAAAUGUCUAAAUUUAGAAUCCUAGUAUAUUGCGGAUCAAUAUUUAUUGCUUAAAGAAACUCAAAUUUUUGAAGAAAUAUUUGCGAAAAUACAUUGUAUUUUGAUCAAUCUUUACAUGAUAAGGAAAUUAAUUGUUUGCUUCUAUAAAUGGAAUCUCCACCACGCCGUAGAAAUAUUGGACUUGUCUAGUGGACCUUAAAGUAGCCCAUGGGUGAAAUGAGUCUUUUACUAUUGUCAGCAACACUAACAAGUAACAAUGUUGAAGUAAUUAAAUAUAUAUAUAUAUAUAUCUUUAAGAUAAAUUAAUUUUUAUAAUUCAUUGGACUUCCAUGCUAAAUGCCAAUAAUCCGAAGGUGUUUAUUAUAUUUAUCUAUGAGAUAUCAAUUUAUCAUGCGUGUUGGGGAAAAAAUUAUCAUAAGCAUUGUAACUUUUUAUAGAAAUAUUAUAUUUUAAUUUACUGAUAUUUUAUUGGAAUUCUAUCGAGAGCGUAGAUGGAUUCUUUUAUAAUGCAGCCUAGAUAAUAUUAAAAAAAAUAUAAAAAAAAUGAUUUAGAAAGUGAUUUACAAUUUACCAUCCCAAUAAUGGGUGAUUUUUACACAUAGUCUACUAGUCGUAUGUUGAAUAUUCAAAAUAUGAACGCUACCAAAGAAAAUAAGUUUCCAUUAUCCCAUUAAAGAAGUUGUAAGCGUGAUUGGGCUGCGCUCUAAAAUUAUAGCCAUAAUUUCAUUUUCAUGUUGUGAGACAAUCAUUUUUUCUUUUGACUUGACCAAGAUAUUGUGCCGCUGUGGAAUAUGCUCUUGUGCGUAUAGCUCACUCAGUUUUUCUGUCGUUACUUUUUUAUAUUGCAGUCACUCAACCACACAGCAUGUGUUGUUGGAAUGUAUUGCUUUGAGCAUGAAAAGAUUGACUGCAUUUUGGAUUUGAUGUCUUGAGGGGGUGCGUUUAUAGUGGAUAUCAAAGAUCCAAAAGAAUGCCUAAACAUUUGAUUCUUUUUAGAGCAUGUAAAGAAGAGAUAAUAAUUGGGGUUUGUUUGUGUGCUUAUUCCUCCUUGCACCUUUGAGCCUUUGAGGCUGUUGCAUUGCUUUUUUCUUCAAAAAAAACAUUAUGCAAUUACAAGAAAUCCAUUGCUUGGAUAUUUUCAAAUAUUGUAAGAUGGAUACAAAAACUCUUUUUGUUACUGAGGGCUAUUCAAAUUUUAAAACUAGGGUGUUGUAACUUCAAAUUCACAUUUACGGACAUGAUGAGAUAUUUGUUUUAAAGUUUCUAAUAAUAAAACAAUCAAAUUCUUGAGAACCACCAAAUAGUUAGGUGAUAAACCAUUUCAAAUUUCAUUCAUGUUAGUGGUAAAAUAUUGGACGGAGGUACUAAUGGCAUUACAUAUGGAGAACAUGAUUCGAGACUAUGAUAAAGGAUGAAGGGAAAGUUGAGAAGGGAGGAUAAAAUGGAAAGAUCUCAAUGAAUUAGUCUCAAUCACCUAAACUGCCAAAGAGUGACACAAAAUUACCUCCUACAAAAUAUCUAAGUCACCACGUGUCUAUACGGAACGAAUUAACAAUCACACGAGGCGCCACCAGGCCACAUCCCCACCUAAGUUGUCUCCAAAGCAUCUCUUUGUGAGCUGCCAAAGUCAAGAUUGAGAAAGGGGGACUACAGACAAGCCACCUCCACCAUCCCUCUAAUUGAUUCAUUCAAAAUUGGCUAAUUAAUUAUAGUUAAGGGCACACAAUCAGCACAAACUGUCACUAAAUAGAUAGCUGCCCAACCUAAACAAGCUUAAAAGCCUCAACAAAAGGAGUCAAAUUACUCUCGAGACCCGACCUUAGGAGGAGAAUCACCAAUAACGGCUCGCCUCAUAUCUAAACGGAUAUAAAUAUGCCCUUAGAGAACUUCACUUUAAAAGGUCAAAUUGGUCUUAUUAAGGGGUAAGAUCACUAUCAAAACACUUAAAAUCUCCUACUCUAUAAUUUCUCUAAAAACCCAUCAUCUUCUUCAAUCCCUCAUUUACUUGAUUAUCAAAGCGUCGUCGCUAGCCCCCGCCACCGUCGCCUCUAACAACUGUUCCUUGUGAUUUCAGAUUCGUCUCAGUCGUCAUCGUCCCCAGAAAACAAUUUCUAGACAGCUCGACAUCCAUCUUCACCAAAAAACUACCUUCUGUAGAGAAGUUCUCAUACUAUUUUGGGCUAAAUCAGAUAAAAACAAUUCAUAUGAGAAGAGAUUGUAAAUAGGAUAAAAACUUGUUUCAUCCUUAUAUUUUAAGGUUAGUACUCAUUUAAUUCCUAUAUUUUUAAAAAUGCUUCAAAAUAUCCCUACUGUUAAAUUAUUGACAUCCCUACUGUUACUUUUUGUUUCUUUUGACUUGCUUUUACAAUAUUACUCUAUUACAAUAAUGUUUCUUUUUAUGAAAUUAAUAAAAAGAAAAAAAAUUAAAUUAUCAAGUUAACCCCAAAAAUUAAAUGAAAACAAAAAGAUUAUAUAUUAAUUUUUGUGAAAGGUUACAUGUCUCCAAAAAUAUUUAUUGUAAAAAUAAUUAAAUAACCUUUUUGGACAUUAGUAAAAAAAAUAUAUAUAUAUUAACUCCUCAGCAGUGUGUUCCAAAACAAGUAACAUAUAUUAAUUUUGUCUCUAUUUUAUUUUUUGAGAUUAAAUUGAUAAUUAAUUUUUUUUCUUUUUACUAAUAAUGUUUAAAAAAAUAUUAUAAGACGAUAAUAUUGUAAAAAUUAAUCCAAAAGCAACAAAAAGUAAGAGGAAAGAUGCUAAUAAUUUAACGUCGGGGAUGUUUUGAGGUAUUUUAAAAAAUUUAGGGACUAAACAAGUAUUAACUCAAAAUAUAGAGACUAAACGAGAUUUCACUCUUGUAAAUAUUAAUAUAUUUUUUCAUCUCUUUUAAUAUAUAUUUUUCAUCUCUUUUCAACUCACAAUUUUUUUUUUUUAAAGAAAAAAAUGAAUCAUUGACCAUUGAUCGGAAAUAAAUACACCUCAAGAUUUGUCCCUUCGAUGCUUCGAUGCAUAACUAAGCCCUAAUCAUAGAAAUAGACAACUAAACUCUCACUAUGUCAAAAAAUGUAAAUACAAAUAGACUCCUUUCUUGAGUCAAUUUUGCCGAUUAUAAUAUCAUGUUUAUUAUGAAUUUAUGAUAACCGGUUCAUGAAUGGGUUUUUAAACUUUUGCCAAUAAAUGUACUAGCCUUUUCAAAUAAUGCCUUUAUUGAUAAUUACAUAAAACCGAAGGAGCUCAAAUGUUAUUAGUUAAAAAGAUAAAAAAAGUCAGAAUAACAGGUGUAACGCCAAAAGAAAAAAAAAAAUCCAUAAUAUUAAAUUAUGGAAAUUGGGCUUUAAUUAGAAAUCGUGCAUGGCCUUAUAACCCUUAUUAGGAAGGGAUAUUAAAUUAUAAAUGAGGGUUAUUUAUGAGGUAAUGUCGGAAAAUGAUUAUUUUUUCAAAUUCAAUAGGGUUUCUUAAGACGCCCUAUAAAUUUAUAUUUUUUUCCUUCCAUAACCCUAAAUCCACGACGUUUCUUCUCAUUCUCUGCUGCUCAUUACGCUCUUACCCAAACUCUAGAAUUCAAACCUUUGUUUAGGAGAGAAUCAAAGCAAUUGGUAAGUGUACUCUCCUUGUUCUCCACAAGAUUUCCAAUCACUCUAUCUAGGGUUUAUAUUGGCAUGACUUUAGAUUGUUAUAGAUUAUAAUACAUGAUUUAGGAUGUGUUUACGCUUUGUUUAGGGUUCUGAUUUAUUAUGAGCCUAGUUAAUCAAUCCUUGAUGCAUUAAGCGCACAUGAUAAUUUUGGACAGUGUUAGUACCUCGAAUUUAACCCUAUAUUCUCUGAACGAUUUUUCUUAAGAAAUUUAUAUUUCUGGAAACUAAACAUGUAGGGCUUCUUGAAUAAAUUUUGUUUCAUCAAAUUACUUCGUUUUCAAUUUUAUAUGUAUUUUCGAAAUAGACACCAUUGCACUGGAAAACUACAAUUCCAGCAAUGCGAUCAGAUUUACAAAUUUAUUUGUACUAUCAAAUGAAAUUGAAAAAUUCUGAAAUUUUAUAUGGACGUUAUUAUAUGUGUCUAGUAUUCCCAGUUUUAAUUUCAUAAUUUUCUAAUUGGUAUUUUUAUUUUAUAAAAAUCUAAGAACCUAUUCUAUUCGGUUAAGGUACUGGGAAACAGUUUCAAAUUGUUCAAGUAAUAAAUAGUUUUGAAAAUGUUUUUGGUAUCAGAUUCCCUUGAAAAUUUUACAGAAGGUACCCAUAGAUGUCCAGAAUAGUUCUAUAGGAUAUUACGUCAUUCUAAGUUCUAGAUUAAGAGUUAAAAUUCUGAGAAUCAGACCUGUACGGGUAUGAAUUAGAAAAUCAGAUUCUUAAAAUAAGUUAUUGAUAGUCAUAUUUUGUAUUUGUUAAGGUGUUUGAGGUGUUUGAGGCUCUUAGAGGCCUAGAGGUGUGCUAAUUCAAAUUCUUUUAUCGAGAUAAGUAACGUCAUUCCUAAUGUACUGGAAUAUGUAUAACUAAUUUCAUAUUAUUAUAAGUGUUUUUGUACCACUUAGAUGAUUAAAUGAUUUUCAUAACAAAAUCAUUUUAUGAAAAUGUUUUCAAAUCUAAAUUCUUUUAACAAAAUAUUUUAUAAAAUGCCUUUCAAUAUGUAAGUUAUUUUAUGUCAUGACUACCUUUUAUAAUUUUGUCAAUGAAAUAUUUUGCAAGCCUAAAUUAUUGUUAUGGACUUUUAUGAAUCUGAUAGAUUAUGUCGUAUAUGUCUUAAAGGGGGGAGGGAGUGAGAGGGAGAGGACCCGUUUCUCUUUGAUUCACCACCGGUGGGGGAUUCUUAAGGGGGAGUUUUUUUUUUGAAUUUGAUGUGUUAAACAAAAAGCAUUCCCCAAAACAUUACCCUUGCCCACCGUAUGGAGCCACCGUCGGUCAACAUUGUUUUGUUUGAAUUAUUGUACCCAUGUAUGAUUUUCAUUAUUUAUGAUUGUAUGGGAUUCCUAAUGUUUUGGCUCAUUGUCCAUAGUUAUUCUGAUUCUGAUUCUGAUUCUGAUCGUAUGAUACGAUAUGUCUGUUCUGGACCAGUAUUGGGUUUAUGUUCUGAGUGUGCACACGAUAUUCUAAUUCUGAUUCUGUUCUGGCCGGGUCACCGGAACUAUGGGUGACACUAUGUUACAUGAGCUAACCUUUUGUUUUCUGUGAAUGUGAUAUAUGAUUUGCUUUCGUAAGUAACUAUGCUUUUGAUAUUCAGGAUUUACUAUGAAUUUAUGUUAUUUUAUCGUGAUAUAUCGUUUUAUAAAAUCUAUGAAUUAUGAAUUAUGUUUUACUAAAAGAAGGCUUGCAAUAUUUUUUUUAGAUAUCGAUAGGCCUAGUGUGUUAGGAAUGGUUUUAUUUACCGAGUUGACGGCUCACCCCUCGUCAUUACUUUUAACAGAUUAAGUUCCAUUUGAGAGGUGUGCUUAGCUCUGGAGUUAGAGAUUUCAUUUUCGUUUGCUGUUUGAAUAAGAAGAGGAAUGGACUCAUGUUUCUUUUUAGUUUAUUUUUGUUAUACGUUUAUAAUUUGGAGUUUGAGACUUUUGUUAUUUUUAUGUUUUGGGAUAGAUUAUUUAGUGUUAGACAUGAAUUUGUAGAUUUAUUUGAGUAAGAAUUUGAGGUAUUUCAUUUUAGAAUUUAUGAGUAAGGAUUACGAUUUGAAAGUAACCUCCUUUUUCACGUGCUCCGCACGUGUUAGAUGAUACGAUAUGUCUGUUCUGGACCAGUAUUGGGUUUAUGUUCUGAGUGUGCACACGAUAUUCUAAUUCUGAUUCUGUUCUGGCCGGGUCACCGGAACUAUGGGUGACACUAUGUUACAUGAGCUAACCUUUUGUUUUCUGUGAAUGUGAUAUAUGAUUUGCUUUCGUAAGUAACUAUGCUUUUGAUAUUCAGGAUUUACUAUGAAUUUAUGUUAUUUUAUCGUGAUAUAUCGUUUUAUAAAAUCUAUGAAUUAUGAAUUAUGUUUUACUAAAAGAAGGCUUGCAAUAUUUUUUUUAGAUAUCGAUAGGCCUAGUGUGUUAGGAAUGGUUUUAUUUACCGAGUUGACGGCUCACCCCUCGUCAUUACUUUUAACAGAUUAAGUUCCAUUUGAGAGGUGUGCUUAGCUCUGGAGUUAGAGAUUUCAUUUUCGUUUGCUGUUUGAAUAAGAAGAGGAAUGGACUCAUGUUUCUUUUUAGUUUAUUUUUGUUAUACGUUUAUAAUUUGGAGUUUGAGACUUUUGUUAUUUUUAUGUUUUGGGAUAGAUUAUUUAGUGUUAGACAUGAAUUUGUAGAUUUAUUUGAGUAAGAAUUUGAGGUAUUUCAUUUUAGAAUUUAUGAGUAAGGAUUACGAUUUGAAAGUAACCUCCUUUUUCACGUGCUCCGCACGUGUUAGAUUUGAGGUGUUACAAGAGAUGAACAAACCUUGUCGGGUAAUUGUCAGUAUGAUACAACUUUGCCUGAGACUAAUGACAAAUCAACACUUGAAACAGAGGAAGAAACCCAGCUGGUCGAGGAGCCCAUCAAAGGUCCAGCUCGUAUGCGCAGGGCACCAACAUACCUCAAGGAUUACAUUACCUAAGGAAUAUUCGAGAAGGAACAAAAGGAGCGAGAAAGAUGACAGCUGUGAUUUUGGUUAUUUUGUUGUGACUAUUUGUUUUGCCAAUUUUGUCGUAGUUGGUUAGUUACGCUUGUAUUAUUGUGGGACAAAAAGGAUAUUUGUAAAGGGCAAUAUGUCAGAAAGGAUAAUAAGAAAAUGACAAAUAUUUAUUCUUCUCUCUCUCCGUCUCUCCUACUAUCUCUGUUUCUCCAUUAAUUUCAAUUCUUUUGCUUCUUUUUGCUGGAGUCAGCACUUACUCGAAAAGUGUAAAUCUAGGAUAUAAACUCUGAGUUGCAGAGUUGUAUCAAUUGGUGCUUUCAUUGCCUUCUUCACAAAAAAAAAAGAAAAAAAAAGAAGAGAACAAAAGCCACCAUGACUGAGCACACAAAGACGAUUGAUUUUGAGGUUCUUUCCGCCAUGAAGGAGCUCCUUGAGAAGCAAACACUCUCUGUUCAUCAGACCUUACAACAGUACAUGUCCACUGUAGAUUCCCGUUUUGAGGAAUUCCAAGCUCAAAUCCGUGGCUCGGUAGGCGUUUUGAGUGGCCAUUCACGACCAUCAGAGCCUAUGACAGUGUUUACAGAGGGUUCUGCUGGGGGCACAGACUUUUCACCGCUUUUACGUUCCAUGAAAAUGGACAUCCCUAAGUUUGAUGGCUCUGAUCCAACAGGGUGGGAAUUUCGCAUCAACGAGUUUUUUGACCUCCAUGGGACCCCAAAUAAUUUGCGUCUUCGCAUUGCAUCGUUUCACAUGGAAGGGAGAGCCGCGACUUGGUAUCAAUGGAUGAAAGCGAACAAUCUAUUAACCACAUGGCGAAGUUUUUUGGUCAGUCUUAAAAGUCGCUUUGGAGCUUCCAUGUAUGAAGACCAUCAAGGAAACCUUUCAAAAUUAACGCAGACCUCCACAGUUGCUGAUUUUCAGUCGGCUUUUGAAGACCUAAUGAACAAAGUUACUGGUAUAUCUGAGCCUUUGUUAAUUAGUUUCUUUAUCACGGGUUUAAAGUCUGAUAUCCGUCGUGAGUUGUUGUUUACUCAACCGACUUCUCUCAUGGAAGCCUUUGCUCUUGCUAGAGCUUAUGAGGCUAGAUCUGAUGAAGUUAAAACAACCAGCCGUUCGUGGUCAAAAUGGCCUCCUACUACACCUCCAGCUUCACCAAAUGUCCCCCCUGUUUUACCAAACACUUCCACUUUUAAAAAUACCAAUACUCUAGCUGCCCCUGUUAUUACUACAACAAAACCACCAUCUCAACCUCCAUUAUUACCAACCCCCAAUUUACCAAUCUGUCGCCUUACUCCAGCUGAGUUACGGGAUAAAAGAGAAAAAGGGUUAUGUUAUAAUUGUGAUAAAAAAUAUAGUGCAAACCAUCGUUGCCGUAGCAAAUUCUUGUUGUUGAUGGGUACUGAUGAUGAAGAGCGUGACCCAGGGGAGGAAGGGAAUAUCAUUGAGCACACUGAAGAAGUGGUUACCGCCGACAUUUCAAGUCUGAAUGCCUUGGCUGGUCAGUCCAAUCCGCGGUCUUUGCGUGUCUUGGGUGAAAUUAAAGGACAUCAAUUCCAUGUUCUUAUAGACAGCGACAGUACUCACAACUUCAUCAAACCGCAACUAGUUGAACGGCUUGGUCUGUCGAUUCAAUCCACCUCAACGUUUCGAGUUUAUAUCGGCAACGGGGAUUUUUUGGUUUGUCGUUUUCACUGCCCAGAGGUGCCAAUUGUUAUUCAAGGCCAUGAGUUUCGCUUGGAUUUCUUUGUUUUGCCAAUUGAGGGACCGGAGGUAGUUUUGGGCAUCCAGUGGCUUCAACGCCUUGGGCGUGUCUCCACAGAUUAUUCAGAGAUGACUAUGGAAUUUUUUUUGGGAGGGUAAGCAAAUCCUUUUACGAGGUGACCCUAUUCAACUCCCUCACUUGAUCUCGUUUAAUCAAUUUCAAGCAUUGUUACACAGCGAAGAAGUUGACACUUUAUUCGAGCUCCAUUCCCUCUCCAGUAACACAUCCGAGUUCAAUAUUCCCAACUCCACAUCCUCAACCUUUGAAACCGAAUUACCCACUGCCUUGCCAGAAUCUAUUUAUCUUCUCCUCCAUCAAUAUAAAGCAGUUUUUGCUCCACCGACUGGCCUCCCUCCCCAGCGAAAUAUAGACCACAAAAUUCACCUCACUCCCAAUUGCAAACCUGUCAAUGUCAGGCCCUACCGUUAUCCUCAGUUUUAAAAAAAUGAGAUGGAGAAAUUAGUUCAUGAAAUGCUUGAGCAAGGAAUUAUCAAACCAAGUCAUAGCCCUUUCUCCUCACCAGUGUUGUUAGUAAAGAAGAAAGACGGCACAUAUCGCUUCUGUGUGGACUACCGUGCUUUGAAUGCGGUAACAGUGAAGGACAAAUUCCCAAUCCCUACCAUCGAUGAAUUAUUUGAUGAACUUGGUGGUGCAAGGGUAUUUAGCAAACUGGAUUUGAGAGCAGGAUAUCAUCAGAUCAGAGUCCAUAAACGUGACACUUACAAAACAGCGUUUCGCACGCAUGAAGGGCACUAUGAAUUUCUUGUCAUGCCCUUCGGACUGACCAACGCUCCAUCCACCUUCCAAGCGACAAUGAACCAAUUAUUUGCUUCUUUUUUACGCAAAUUUGUUAUCGUAUUUUUUGAUGAUAUUUUGGUAUACAGUUCUUCUUUGGCUGAUCAUGUGUGUCACUUGGAGCAGGUUUUGCUGCGUUUACAAUCACAUCAAUUUUCUGCCAAACUCUCUAAAUGUUUGUUUUGUCAAAAGACCAUUGCUUACUUAGGACAUAUAGUCUCUGCUCAUGGUGUUCAUGCUGACCUUCAAAAGAUUACCGCCAUGGUGGAUUGGCACUUGCCUAAAACAGUGAAGCAACUGAGGGGAUUUUUGGGGCUUACGGGGUAUUAUCGGCGGUUUAUACAAGGUUAUGCAAUUAUUGCAGCUCCACUUACAGAAUUGUUAUGCAAGGAUGCCUUCCGUUGGAAUGUGACAGCCACUGAAGCCUUUAAUAAAUUGAAAGAUGGCAUGGUAAAAGCUCCUGUAUUGCUCCUACCUAACUUUGAAUUGGAAUUUUUCAUUGAAACGGAUGCAUCAAAUGUAGGAAUUGGGGCCGUAUUAAUGCAAGUGGGUCACCCCAUAGCUUAUUUUAGUAAAAAAUUGGGACCUCGGUUGCGGGCAUCGUCGACAUACAUCAAAGAACUACAUGCCAUUGUGUCGGCCGUGCUAAAAUGGCGACAGUAUCUCCUCGGAAGAUUUUUCAUCAUCCGUACAGAUCACAAAAGCAUUAAAGAGUUAUUUCAACAAGUAAUCCAAACUCCUGAUCAGCAGGCUUACGUCCAAAAGUUAUUAGGAUUCCAUUUCAGAAUUGACUAUAAGGCUGGAAGCUCGAAUCAAGCUGCAGAUGCACUGUCACGAAUACAUGAAGAUACACCUCUUGAAUCCCAAAUGGUUCAAGCACUCUGUUUAACAAUGGUUAGUCAACCUUCUACUGAGUUAUUACAAAUCUUGCUAAAGGAAAAUGCAACCGUAGAUGACAUGUUACUUCUCCACAAGAAGUUGGCGACAGGAACACUUUCCCCCGAUUUUUCUGUUCACAAUGGGUUCUUAUUAUUCUGCCACCGCUACUAUCUCAGUCCACACUCAUCGUUGAAACCAAUAUUGCUAAAAGAAUUCCAUGACACUCCAAUGGCAGGUCACGCAGGCCUCAAAAGAACUUUGAUUCGACUGUCUUCUAAUUUUUAUUGGCCCAAAAUGCGAGCUGAUGUGGAAAAGUAUAUUGCUGCUUGUCUCACCUAUCAACAAAUUAAAUAUUCCACCCAAGCCCCUGCAGGAUUACUCCAGCCUCCUCCCAUCCCUUCACUUGUUUGGGAUGAAUUAACUAUGGAUUUUAUUACGGGGCUACCCAAUUCUAAAGGAUUUGAAGUUAUUUUGGUUGUGGUUGAUCGUUUGACGAAAUCAGCACAUUUCGGAGCAUUGCCAUCUCAGUUCACUGCCCACAAGACAGCCAUGUUAUUCACUGACUUGGUAGUCAAAUUACAUGGUUUUCCCAGUUCAAUCAUUUCAGACCGAGAUCCAGUAUUCAUGAGCCAUUUUUGGCAAAAAUUAUUUGAAUUGAGUGGCACCACAUUACGCCACAGCACCGCUUAUCAUCCACAGACCGACGGCCAAUCCGAGGUGGUAAACCGCGGCCUAGAGCAAUAUCUCCGAGCCUUCACUCAAGACAAACCUCAUUCUUGGUCAACUAUUUUGGGAUGGGCUGAAUUUUGUUACAAUACCAGUUAUCAUAGUAGCUUGCGAAUGACACUGUUAACAUAAAUAUGUUAAUAAUAUUGAUUUUGAUGAUAACAAAUUUUAAAUGUUUUUUGAUAAAAAUAUUGGAGCUAUUCCUUAAUAAACGAAAGCCUUGAUAAUCAUUCCAUUCAUUCUUUCAUAAAAGAUGGACCUUCAAAUUCAAAAAUGAUUUUCUGUAAAAUCUGUUUUAAAAUGUGAUUCUGGAAAUAAACGGUAAACCGUUUAUUUAAACGGUUAACCGAUUAAUGCCAGAGAGCAACAUAUUUCCUAAACCUCUAACCGUUUAUGAAAAACGAAAAACACAAAAGAUGGGAAGGUUACUGGAACUUAACGGUGAACCGUUUAUGUAAAACGGUUAACCGAUUAACACCAGAAAGCAACAUAUUGCCUAAGCUCUAACUGUUUAUGAAAAACGAAAAACACCAAGGAUGGAAAGGCAACUGGAACUUAACGGUGAACCGUUUAUUUUAAACGGUUAAUCGAUAAUGUCCAGAAUUGAAGGUUGUCCUCCUCUGGCACUAAUUAACAAAACCUGAUAAGGCUAGUUUGUUUUGCAGGUUACUGGAGUCAAACGGCUUACCGUUUAUUACAAACGGUUAACCGAUAAUAUCCAGAGAAGCCACUUCACGCAAGUCCUUAACCGUUUAGUGUAAACGGAUAACCAAUGUUCAUCUUGCAGGUCUCUGGAAGUUAACGGCGAAAGGUUAAUCCUAAACGGCAAACCGUUUAUUUGAAAUCUGGCCCAACGGUAACUUUGACCAACCGAAACGGUUAACCGUUUAUGGCUAACGGCGAACCGUUUUCUGUCCGACAGUUUGUAACGGCUAGAUUUUCAUCUCCAUAUAUAAAUAAGCUCAUUCAAAUUCAAAGAAGAUUGAUCACAACACGACCUUUGAGCAAAUAUUCGAGAAUACAAUCUUCAUAAAGCUUAAAACACAUUCUUGCUUCAUCUAUUCACAUAUUAAGCAUCAUUGUGUAAUCUUAUAUAUUGUGAGAGGCAAAACAAUUUGUAAUCUUUUACUUUGAGUGAUUGUAAGUGUUGGGAUAGACUUGGGUUAAGAGAUUGGGGAUAAUCUCUUGUUGUAAAGGUUUAUUGACACCUUGGAAGUCAAGUGUAAGCAUUUGAAGCCUUGGCGGCUUGCUUAGUGGAAUCCUCAAGCCCGGAAAGCUAUUGCUUUGAAUUUGGAUUAUAUUUGCAUUAAGUUUUUCUUUAUAAAUUGAAUAAUUUUUAGAAUCCCAAUUCACCCCCCCUCUUGGGUUGCAUACUUGUAUUUCAGACACCUUUCCAAGCUCUUUAUGGACGCUUACCUCCUACAAUUCCUGGCUAUUCCAAGGGCUCUACUUCAAUCCAAGCAUUAGAAGACCUGCUGGUCGAGCGAGAUGAAUUGUUGCGCGGUUUAAGAGCAAACUUAUGUCAAGCUCAGCACCGAAUGGCACAAAAAGCUAACAAGCAUCGCAGAGACUUGCAACUACAGGUGGGGGACAAAGUGCUGGUACGCUUACAACCUUACAGGCAAUCAUCUGCUGCCAACCACGCUUCGCACAAGCUGGCAAAGCGCUACUAUGGGCCAUUUCGGGUAUUGGAGAGAAUUGGUUCUGUUGCUUAUAAAUUAGAAUUGCCUGCUGGCAGCAAAAUUCACCAUGUUUUCCAUAUAUCCUUACUCAAGCCUUAUGUUGGGGAUUCUCAUGUUGACAUUCAUUCCCUGCCCCCUGCAAGUGUGAACAACAAGCCACUUUCUUCUCUUAUAGCGAUUUGUGCUGAACGCUCGGUGCUUAAACAAGGGCAGGAGCUUCGUCAAGUUUUGGUGCAAUGGUCUAAUUGUGCCCCUAAAAAUUCUACUUGGGAGGAUUAUGAUGAUUUUUGCAAGACAUAUCCCGAGCUUCACCUUGAGGACAAGGUAAAUUCUCAAGGGAUGGGGAAUGAUACAACUUUGCCCGAGACUAAUGACAAAUCAACACUUGAAACAGAGGAAGAAACCCAGUUGGUCGAGGAGCCCAUCAAAGGUCCAGCUCGUAUGCACAGGGCACCAACAUACCUCAAGGAUUACAUUACCUAAGGAAUAUUCGAGAAGAAACAAAAGGAGUGAGAAAGAUGACAGCUGUGAUUUUGGUUAUUUUGUUGUGACUAUUUGUUUUGCCAAUUUUGUCGUAGUUGGUUAGUUACGCUUGUAUUGUUGUGGGACAAAAAGGAUAUUUGAAAAGGGCAACAGGUCAGAAAGGAUAAUAAGAAAAUGGCAAAUAUUUCUUCUUCUCUCUCUCCGUCUCUCCUGCUAUCUCUGUUUCUCCAUUAAUUUCAAUUCUUUUGCUUCUUUUUGCUGGAGUCAGCACUUACUCGAAAAGUGUAAAUCUAGGAUAUAAACUCUGAGUUGCAGAGUUGUAUCACAGUACCACUUAUUCAAUACACUUCUUUCACUCACUCUCUUCACCCACACACUCUUCUCUCUCUCGCUCUCUCUUCAAUCAACAAAAUAGAACUAAAAAAGUAAAAAUCAAAAUUAAAAUAUAAAACAGCAAAAAUUAAAAGCAAAAAAUCAGAUCAGCAAACAAUUUGCUACUUUUACCUGUUUUGUUUUAAUUGCUUCGAUUUUCAUCUCACAAGCGUUCAAAUUUUGUGAAGCUGAAAGCUGCAGAAUGGGUGGAAUUUGCUUCCACUUCUCGUUGAAGCGCUUCCAGGUGGGCUUCUCAAAACGAUCCGUUCAAUAUCUGAAUUUCUGAUAAUAAAUUUUUGGUUUUGAAGUGAUUUUGUAGCUUAGAAUUUGUUUAUUUAUUUAUGUUUUGGUCAUUUUUUUUAAUAUUUCUGUUGAUUGACUUCAAGUAUUUAUGUGGAGAAGAUACAUAAUGCAUGAUGUCUAUCAUGUAAUUUUUAUAAUUAUUUUAUUUAAAUUAUAUGUGUUGUAAUAUAUAUCUUAAUUAUAGUGUAAAAACAAUGAUAAUGUAAAACUUUUUUUUAUUAAUGCUAAUAGUAAAACUUUAUCACCAUGAAUUUUUUUAUAAUUAUUUUGUUUAAAUUAUUUAUGUUAUGUUUAUGUAUGUAUUAGAUAAAAAAUUAUUUUCUAACUAUAAGUAUGACUUAAAUGUUUAGUAAAAAUUAUUUUUGAAAAUAGUACUACCAAACUCACUAUUUUUAUCAUUUUCAAUUGUAUCUACCGAACGCAUAUUACUACUUUCAAUUUUAAAAUAUACGAUACAAAAAUUGAUAUCAAACGCAUACUUAAAUUCGAAAUACAAUAAUUAUAAAACAUCAUUUUCAUUCUCAUUUUUGUUCUUAGAAAAUAAAAAUUCAAAAAUAAUACCGAACAUGCCCUUAUCUACUCUUAAUUGGGACAACUAACUGUACCAAUAUUUAUCUUCAAAACUCAGAAAUUAGUGAAAUCUUGCUUCUCUUUUCACGGUGGAUUUUUUACAUUGGAUGUAGGCAAGAAUAUGACCGACCACUAUAAAUUAUAACUAUUAAUUUACUCCGAUACCUCUUGUUAAACACAAACAAAUAUCUCCACUUAUCUUUAGAAACACCAAUCAUGCAGAAAAUACACCUUUAAUAAAAAACAUGCAAUGCGAAUUGAAAAUUUUGAACCAACUCUUCCAUGUAGAUUCAUGUUUGCAUAUAGCAACAUUAUUAUCAUUCAAUAAGAAUAAGAAUCACAUCCCCAUUUACAACACAAAAUUACAAUAUAAAGGGUCAAAACACCUGGCAAGAAAUAAAAAGUAUUAAGAAUAGAUCUAGUAAACUACAACUCUUCCAAAAACAAGGAAAACUUCAAACCACUGGCAAAAUAGGGACACUCUUUAGACCCAAAAGAGGUGUAGAGUAAAUAAGUAAUAAUAAUAAUAAACCCAUCAUACUCAUUGGAAAAAGGGGUUAAAAAUUAAAGGUAUCAGGGUAUAUUUGUACCAAUGUGGCAACAUUUUUAUUAAUAACCACAAUAAUUUUUUUUUAUCUCGAUCUUAAAAUAUUAGUAGUGAAGCUUUAUGUAACAAUUUAAAUUUUUUGUUUACUGAAAAAUGAAAUAAUAGUUAAACACUCAAUCGUUAUUUUUAAAAUUUUCGUAAUCUCUUAAAUCUUAUUUUAUCUGCAUUACGUAUGAAGUGUAAGGUUGUAAUGACAACUACAACAAUAAUUGGAAAAAGAAAAGUAGAUGAAAUAACAAAUUAAUUAACCGCAAUAAUAAUAUAGGAUUCAUAAAAAUUAACUUACUGUAAAUGAAAGGCUACUCUUUUAUGACAAUAAGAAUUUUAUUUAAACACGAAAAUUUCUUUCCAAUUAGUUAUGGACCAGCAUGAGUUUGGUGCUUAAUGGAACUCAAAUUUCUAAUAAAUAUUUACAAAAUACAUUAUAUUUUGAUCAAUCUUACAUAUGAAGGAAAUUAAUUGUUUAUCAAUCUUACAUAUGAAGGAAAUUAAUUGUUUGCUUCUGUACAUGGAAAAUAUUUACAAACAAAUUUUGGGACUUGUUUAUUGGACCUCAAGGGCCAUGGCCCAUGGGUGCUAUAAGCCUUUUACUAUUGUCAUAAUAAUUCACAAGUGUGCAGUGGCUUUAAGAUUAAUUAAUUUUUGCUAAAGCUUGAACAGAGACUUUAAAAUUCUUCAAUUUUGUGUCAGAUUUUGCUUGUUAUUAAUUUGUUGAUCUUCAUUCUAUGCUAAAUACCAAUGUUUGAAGGUAGUCCUUUCUAUUCAUUGAGAUAUCACUUUGUCAUAGGCAUUGUAUGUGUGUGUAUAUAUAUAUAUUGCAAUAAUUAUUAUUGGAAAUUUGUGGAGGGUGUACCUAGACUCUUUUAUAGUGCAGCCUAGAUAAUAUAUUAAUAUAAAUGAAAGGAAGUGAUUUAUCAUUUACCAUCUAAAAAAUGGGCAGUUCCAUAUUUUUUUACGUAGUCGUUCGUGUACUGAAUAUUCAAAAUACAAAUAGCAAAGAAAGUUUCCAUUCCCUAAUUAAGAAGUCAGCAUGAUUGAGCUGAGAUAUCAUACAGGAUAUGAGGCUUGUUAUAGUUGCUCUUCAGGUUAUACAUAUACUAGAAGAGUAAAAAUGUAGUAACUCUCACUGAUGUCACACAUUAUGGAGAAAAAGAGGCUUCAAGUCUCCAGUUUUUGUUAAGUAGUGGAGGAGAUGAGGAAAAGUGAUGAUCGUGUCAGGGUCUUGCCUCUAUUAAUUCCUAGGCCUAGGCCUUAUGAUUGCAUGGAAAGGAUUUAGCUUGUGAGUAGUGAGGCCAACAGUAUCAACACUUUCUUCCUCACCCUCUCUCAGAUUCCACUUGAAUUCCUGCACCAGCCUACCUAUUGCUGUGCAAGCUAUCAAACUUGCCUGAAGAGAACCUGCGCACACCCUCUUUCCUGCUCCAAAGGCCAUUGUCUUGUACAAAUCUGCAGGGUCGUUUUGCCCAUCAAGAAAUCUCU
rnacentral:lncRNA from 1 species